AAGUCCCUGCCGUGUUCGUGACUUGGCCAUACAUUCCUUGAACCAAUGCUAUAUGGCAUAGGUUGCCGGAUUGCCUGGUAGGAGUGCUACCUUAACUGGAUAGCCCGAAGCCUCGCUGAUGGCGACCACCGUGAACCUCCGGUUCCGGGAUGCCGGCCACAACGGCACAGGCGGGGCAUGC
rnacentral:other from 1 species